UGCAGUCGACGAACUCUGGUAUUGAUUGGUGCUUGCAUCAUGAUUUACAUUUGAGUGAGUGGCGAACUGGUGAGUAACACGUGGGAAACCUGCCCAGAAGCGGGGGAUAACACCUGGAAACAGAUGCUAAUACCGCAUAACAACUUGGACCGCAUGGUCCGAGYUUGAAAGAUGGCUUCGGCUAUCACUUUUGGAUGGUCCCGCGGCGUAUUAGCUAGAUGGUGGGGUAACGGCUCACCAUGGCAAUGAUACGUAGCCGACCUGAGAGGGUAAUCGGCCACAUUGGGACUGAGACACGGCCCAAACUCCUACGGGAGGCAGCAGUAGGGAAUCUUCCACAAUGGACGAAAGUCUGAUGGAGCAACGCCGCGUGAGUGAAGAAGGGUUUCGGCUCGUAAAACUCUGUUGUUAAAGAAGAACAUAUCUGAGAGUAACUGUUCAGGUAUUGACGGUAUUUAACCAGAAAGCCACGGCUAACUACGUGCCAGCAGCCGCGGUAAUACGUAGGUGGCAAGCGUUGUCCGGAUUUAUUGGGCGUAAAGCGAGCGCAGGCGGUUUUUUAAGUCUGAUGUGAAAGCCUUCGGCUCAACCGAAGAAGUGCAUCGGAAACUGGGAAACUUGAGUGCAGAAGAGGACAGUGGAACUCCAUGUGUAGCGGUGAAAUGCGUAGAUAUAUGGAAGAACACCAGUGGCGAAGGCGGCUGUCUGGUCUGUAACUGACGCUGAGGCUCGAAAGUAUGGGUAGCAACAGGAUUAGAUACCCUGGUAGUCCAUACCGUAACGAUGAAUGC
rnacentral:rRNA from 2 species